AACGAACGCUGGCGGCAUGCCUAACACAUGCAAGUCGAACGAGACCUUCGGGUCUAGUGGCGCACGGGUGCGUAACGCGUGGGAACCUGCCCUUAGGUUCGGAAUAACUCCCCGAAAGGGGUGCUAAUACCGGAUAAUGUCUUCGGACCAAAGAUUUAUCGCCUUUGGAUGGGCCCGCGUUGGAUUAGCUAGUUGGUAGGGUAAAAGCCUACCAAGGCGACGAUCCAUAGCUGGUCUGAGAGGAUGAUCAGCCACACUGGGACUGAGACACGGCCCAGACCCCUACGGGAGGCAGCGGUGGGGAAUAUUGGACAAUGGGCGAAAGCCUGAUCCAGCAAUGCCGGGGGAGUGAUGAAGGCCUUAGGGUUUUAAAGCUCUUUUACCCGGGAUGAUAAUGACAGUACCGGGAGAAUAAGCCCCGGCUAACUCCGU
rnacentral:rRNA from 1 species